rnacentral:lncRNA from 1 species
GCUAGGGAGUCAGCAACCACCAUAAUGGGAUUCCCACACACCCAAGUGUGUCUAAGUCUACAUCCCAUGCUUUCGACCAUAAUGCCUCCUCCCUCUCACUGCUUCCCCUCAAGCACCCUUGAGAUAUUUCUUUUCUUUUUUUAGGCAGGGUCUUACUCUGUCACCCAGGCUGGAGUGCAGUGGCGCAAUCAUAGCUCACCACUGCUUUGACCUGCUGGGCUCAAGCCAUCCUCCCACCUCAGUCUCCCAAGUAGCUGGGACCACAGGCAUGUGCCACCACACCUGGCUAAUUUUUGUACUUUUUUCGUAUAGAUGUGGUUGUGCUAUGUGCCCUGACUGGUCUUGAGUUCCUGAGCUCAAGCAAUCCUUCCUCCUUGGCCUCCCAAAGUGCUGGGAUUACAGGCAUGAUUACAGACAAGCCACCAUGCUCGGUACUUGAGAUAUCUGAGCCUUCCGGAUUUCUGAGUUGUUGAUAAACACCGCACAGGAGACGUGAGGACAGAACCCUUCAGUGGAGACCUGUUUGGAUAUUGCAGGGGCUUUCUGUGCCCUGCCUGUGUGUGAUUUCAGCGCUGUGGUGGAAGAACAUGCUGAUCUCCAUUUGAAGAGGCUUCUAAACACCAGAAGGGACACAGCUUGCUGGGGGAAGGUCUGUGGGCCAGAGAUGUAUUUUGUUUUAAGAGAAAAGUCAGAAAGACAAGGAAAUCAAGAUUCUACCUCCCAACCAUCCAGGACUAAGGUCUCUUCCAAAGAUCACCCAAGUGGGCAUAUAUGACUCAAGGAACAAGAGGCAAAGCAUUCAGGAUGCCUUUAGAAGCCUUAGAUCUAAGAACCGUCUAAGACUGGGAAAGACUUGGGAUAGAAAAGACCCAGAAAAUCUGGGAGACACCCGGAAGACAUCUAGACCAAGGGUCUGCAAACUAUGACCUGACAACCAAAGCUGGCCUACUGCCUGUUUUUACAAAUAAAGUGUUACAGGAACACAGCCAUGCCCAU